UAUGGGCCCUAGAGGACUAGGUAGGUGGAGCUGAUGUUCCCUGGAUGACCGCACACUGUGCCCUGGGAGCCUGAGUGCAACCUCCUGAGGAAGAGGGUGGAUAUCAACACUGCCUUUUCCUGUGGCAGAGAAGCUCGGAUGCCACUGCUGUCUACGUAAUGGCAGGUCCUGCUGGAAGCAGUCAGCACUCCUAAUAUGAAACAGAUGUGAGAACUACCUCAGGACUGGGAGAAGCCACUUCUCC
rnacentral:lncRNA from 1 species